rnacentral:tRNA from 1 species
GCCUUUAUGGUGUAGUAGUCAGCACACUCGACGCGUAACCGAGAGGUCCGUGGUUCGAUUCCCAGAGAGGGCA